rnacentral:rRNA from 1 species
UCCUUGGGUGACGAGUGGCGGACGGGUGAGUAAUGUCUGGGAAACUGCCCGAUGGAGGGGGAUAACUACUGGAAACGGUAGCUAAUACCGCAUAACGUCGCAAGACCAAAGAGGGGGACCUUCGGGCCUCUUGCCAUCGGAUGUGCCCAGAUGGGAUUAGCUAGUAGGUGGGGUAACGGCUCACCUAGGCGACGAUCCCUAGCUGGUCUGAGAGGAUGACCAGCCACACUGGAACUGAGACACGGUCCAGACUUCUACGGGAGGCAGCAGUGGGGAAUAUUGCACAAUGGGCGCAAGCCUGAUGCAGCCAUGCCGCGUGUAUGAAGAAGGCCUUCGGGUUGUAAAGUUCUUUCAGCGAGGAGGAAGGUGUUGUGGUUAAUAACCGCAGCAUUUGACGUUACUCGCAGAAGAAGCACCGGCUAACUCCGUGCCAGCAGCCGCAGGUAAUACGGAGGGUGCAAGCGUUAAUCGGAAUUACUGGGCGUAAAGCGCACGCAGGCGGUCUGUCAAGUCGGAUGUGAAAUCCCCGGGCUCAACCUGGG